GGUGGCUCAGUGGUAGAGUGCUUGCUUUCCAUGCAUGAGGCCCUGGGUUCGAUUCCUCAGCACCA
rfam:Dipodomys ordii contig_34865, whole genome shotgun sequence.